rnacentral:rRNA from 1 species
AACGAACGCUGGCGGCAUGCCUAACACAUGCAAGUCGAACGAGACCUUCGGGUCUAGUGGCGCACGGGUGCGUAACGCGUGGGAACCUGCCCUUAGGUUCGGAAUAACUCCCCGAAAGGGGUGCUAAUACCGGAUAAUGUCUUCGGACCAAAGAUUUAUCGCCUUUGGAUGGGCCCGCGUUGGAUUAGCUAGUUGGUAGGGUAAAAGCCUACCAAGGCGACGAUCCAUAGCUGGUCUGAGAGGAUGAUCAGCCACACUGGGACUGAGACACGGCCCAGACUCCUACGGGAGGCAGCAGUGGGGAAUAUUGGACAAUGGGCGAAAGCCUGAUCCAGCAAUGCCGCGUGAGUGAUGAAGGCCUUAGGGUUGUAAAGCUCUUUUACCCGGGAUGAUAAUGACAGUACCGGGAGAAUAAGCUCCGACCAACUCCGUG